rnacentral:rRNA from 1 species
UACGAAGGGUGCUAGCGUUGUUCGGAAUUACUGGGCGUAAAGGGCGCGUAGGCGGCUUUCCAAGUCAGGGGUGAAAUCCCGGGGCUCAACCCCGGAAUUGCCUUUGAAACUGGAAAGCUAGAGUGUCGGAGGGGAUAGCGGAAUUGCUAAUGUAGAGGUGAAAUUCGUAGAUAUUAGCAGGAACACCGGUGGCGAAGGCGGCUAUCUGGACGACAACUGACGCUGAGGCGCGAAAGCAUGGGGAUCAAACAGG